CUGAAUGCUCACCGAGCCAUCGUCACUUAGCGGGUCGGGUCGAAACCCGAAAGGAAUCGGGUCGGGUCAUCUGCUCGACGGCUUCCUUCCGCCGGGCCAAGAGAGGGGCUCUCCCAGGACUCAGAUGAGCCGACGGUCUUGCGCAGGGCGGACUCGGCGGCGUCGCGCUUCGACCUCGCUUUCGUCUCUUCCAAUCCGCGCAGUUGGUCCACAUGAAGGCAUAGCUUCGGUCCGAGCACGAUCGACUCGCCUCCGUGGCGAAUCCGAAGCCUCUCUUCCCUCCCGGCUUGGAAGUAUGGAGUGAGGAAGUAGUGAAGGGAUAUCACUACUUGAUGGACAAAAGAUGAGGUACCCUUUUAUGGUUAUAACACUUUUUAGAAUUAAUAUGAAUAUAUUUUUUAGCGUUACAUAGGAUUUGAACUCUGUAAUGCCAGAGCUAACAUGUCAUUAUCAUGCAGAGUAGGGCAAUGCUGCAGGGAUUGAGAUUCUAGUAGUAUUUCUAAUAGGCCGAAAGGGGAAAGCAUGGUACUUUGGUAUAUUGUGAAUCCAACCACCCUCUGUUUUCAUGUUGUGGUGAACUGGAGGCUAUGUUCAUGUGAGCAGAAAAGGCAAAUGUUCAAUUAUCCUUUCCACAAAAUGGUACUUUGAUGGCUAAAUUCACUAAUCAAUACUGUAUAUAAUAUCUGGUAGUUCCAAAGGGAAUACCAGUUAAAUUUGCAAAAUAGGUGACUUAUAUUCCUUGUUAUGUUCUUAACUGCUGACAGCAUGGACACAUUUGUUCUUUUGGAAACAUGACUGAAUUUGAAACAUGUAAACUCUAAAAGUUGUUUCAUAUAAACAUAACUGACUUCAUUAACCAUGAAAAUCAUGAUUAUGUCUAAAUUCUAUUUCUUUUCUAACAGAUGAUGCUUUACAAAGUUGAUGGUAGACAUUUGCUCUUCAUUCUUGGUUAGAAAUUGUUUAAACAAAAUAGAAAUCAACAAAUAUAAUUGGUUUCAUAACAUGGCAUAUUUUGAGAGGAAUAGCAUUUAAAUUGUUCAAGUAGAAAUGUAGGUUGGUAGAAAGGUAAAUUGUGUAAAUCUAUCAAAUUCUGUGAUGAUCUCUUCCAGGGCCUACAAGGUAAUUGACAGCUGCCGAGGUGGGACUAUGGGAAUUUGCAAAUGUCACAAACUUCGUUGGCUUCCAUGAAAGCAGAGGCAACUUACAGAUGACAGAUAAGACAAGCUUACAGAUCAUUAGGCUUUGUUUUCUCACAACACUUGCAUGACUGACAGAGAUGCCAUCUUAUUUGGUUGCCUCUAGAAAGUAUUUAUUAUGUAUGGCCUCCUUCCCUAGAGCUAUAAAAAGCAAAAUAUAAGUAGCUCUUGGUAAAGUUAUAUUUCUGAACAACUAAGAUUAUGCUGAUGGAGAACAGCUAAAAGAAGAGUUUGCUCAGAAUCAAGCCUCGUGACAUAUCUAUUUCAGAAUCAUGCUUUUAGAGUACCUCUUCUAAUGUGAUAUAAUUGUGGGAGAAGUGGUCAUUGCACCCACUUGUAGUACAACUUCAUUUAAUAUCAUUUUUAUCAUCCACAUGGUAUCUUUUUAAUUAAGGCCCUUAGAGAACAUUAUAUCUUGAAGUUUUUUCUCAUCCACCUGAGCUGCAUAUAUUUUAGGGGCAAUUAUAUUUGUAUGCUUUUAAAAGUGAAAAUUUCAUGUCUACUUCUGUAACUAUGCAAAUAUUCGUAUGUAUCCAUAUAAAUGGGGUAUGUAUUUGUUGUUAGAUUCCUGCAUAUAUUAAACCCAUUAUAUCUGCUUAAUUAUGAUAUGUUAAGAUUUAUUUAAUUUAAAUCUUGAAAUACCUAAAAUAACCUUGUUCCUGAUCUCUUUUACAUUUGUUUUUGGUCUUGCCCUAUCUUUUCCUUUCUUUUAUUGUCAUUAACCCAUUUUUAUCCAUCUCUGUCGUAGCUUUGCAGAAAGAAAUUUCCCGAGGAAGGAGACCAAAUAGAUACGAGAGAAGAGGAAGCAAAGGUAAGGUGGAAUGGAGAAAGUGGUAACAGGCGAUGACAUACAAGAGAAAUAAAGAUGGAACUUUACAUAUCUUCCAUAGAGUUUCAUAGAGAACAAAUACAAAUUAUUUUUUUCCCAUUAAACAUGCCAAAUUACAAUUAGGAAACACAGGUGUGGUGGGAAGAUUCAAUGCCGGUUAGAAACAUUGUUUACGUUAUUAAUGGUGAUCUAAUACUUCAAAGUGUACUAGGAUUUUUGCUGCCUGCAAUGUUAGAUCGACCUUUUUCUUUA